GUGGUGGGUGACAGUCAUUCUUCCGUACUUUGUUGGCCAUUCCUCUCUCCCUCCCUCCCCCUUCCAACCCUUCCCUCAACCAUCACCUAUCCGUUACCGUCCGUAUGCUCCUUUUGCGCCCCAGGCGGAGUCACUGCGAAGAGGGUGCAGAUGGAAAUUAGGAGAGGGGGGAUUGCCAAAGUGCUUGAUAUAUCUUUCGCUGUCUUGAGACUCUUUCUUUCUCUAGCCAUCGUGUUAGUCUUGUUUUGCUGCUCCGUAUGUACGCGUGAGGGUGUGUGUGUGCGCAUGGCUGGGACGGAGGUAUUUUUCGCUCAGCAUAUAAAGUUGUUUGAAGUCAUCGUCGUUUCGCCAUGAUGGACCGCGUCUGUUGCCCGGGGGGAGGGGUGGGGAAUGCUCCCCAGGAGGCGCGUCACCCCUGUCGAAUCCCUUGCCGCUCCUCUCUCUACUUGCGGCCCUGCUACGUAUAGAGGAAGCCUCUCAAGGAAGUGUGCCUGUUACCCGCUAAACCCCCCCGUGUUGUACACAGUUUCCAAGUAUAAAUGUACGCUUCAAUCAAAGCACAGGUGCAUCCACCACACUCACUGCCUCACAGAUGCCGCGCAGUCUCUGACCCGCACAGACUGCGUCCUUUUCUCCUUGUCUUUUUAUCGUAUAUAUUGUCUAUGUGUCUGUGUCUGUGGCAGAAACCCGUGCCUUCGUUCUCGGAGAGCAUGGAGAGGACGUGGCAAGUCGUCGUACACACACACACUCCGACGAGCCGCACGCAAUGUCGUCAUUCCUGGUUCCACGCCUCGCUUCACCUACCACGCCCUUCUCCCUCUUCUCUCUGCUCCCAUUGCUAUCGAGUAG
rnacentral:misc_RNA from 1 species